rnacentral:rRNA from 1 species
UUCCGGUUGAUCCCGCCGGACCUGACUGCUAUCGGAUUGAUACUAAGCCAUGCGAGUCUUUGCAGUAAUGCAAGGCAUACGGCUCAGUAACACGUAGUCAACUUACCCUAUGGACGAGGAUAAUCUCGGGAAACUGAGCAUAAUACUCGAUAGAUCAUAAUGCCUGGAAUGGUUUAUGGUUGAAAUGAUUCGUCGCCAUAGGAUGGGACUGCGGCCUAUCAGCUUGUUGGUGAGGUAAUGGCCCACCAAGGCGAUUACAGGUACGGGCUCUGAGAGGAGAAGCCCGGAGAUGGGUACUGAGACAAGGACCCAGGCCCUAUGGGGCGCAGCAGGCGAGAAAACUUUGCAAUGUGCGAAAGCACGACAAGGUUAAUCCGAGUGAUUUCUGCUAAAGAAAUCUUUUGCAAGUCAUAAAACCACUAGUGAAUAAGGGGUGGGCAAGUUCUGGUGUCAGCCGCCGCGGUAAAACCAGCACCUCAAGUGGUCAGGAGGAUUAUUGGGCCUAAAGCAUCCGUAGCCGGCUCUGUAAGUUUUCGGUUAAAUCCAUGUGCUCAACGCAUGGGCUGCCGAAAAUACUGCAUAGCUAGGGAGUGGGAGAGGUAGACGGUACUCGGUAGGAAGGGGUAAAAUCCUUUGAUCUAUCGAUGACCACCUGUGGCGAAGGCGGUCUACCAGAACACGUUCGACGGUGAGGGAUGAAAGCUGGGGGAGCAAACCGGAUUAGAUACCCGGGUAGUCCCAGCUGUAAACGAUGCAGACUCGAUGAUGCAUUGGCAUAUAGCCAGUGCAGUGUCGCAGGGAAGCCGUUAAGUCUGCCGCCUGGGAAGUACGUACGCAAGUAUGAAACUUAAAGAAAUUGGCGGGGGAGCACCACAAGGGGUGAAGCCUGCGGUUCAAUUGGAAUCAACGCCGGA